AGUUUGCUAAUACCGCAUAACGUAUAAGAGUCGCAUGUCUUUUAUAUCAAAGGCUUGCUGCCCUGAGAUGAGCUUGCGUCCGAUUAGGUAGUUGGCGGGGUAAGAGCCCACCAAGCCGACGAUCGGUAGCCGGACUGAGAGGUUUGAACGGGCCACAUUGGAACUGAGAUACGGUCCAGACUCCUACGGGAGGCAGCAGUGGGGAAUAUUGGGCAAUGGGCGAAAGCCUGACCCAGCGACGCCGCGUGAGGGAAGAAGAUCUUCGGAUUGUAAACCUUAGUCAACAGGGAAGAAGAAAGUGACGGUACCUGUGGAGGAAGCCACGGCUAACUACGUG
rnacentral:rRNA from 1 species